GUCCUCCUGGGAGCUCCUCCAUCAUCCCCACUGAAGAAGGUCCCCACUGGUUCACUGGAGGAGAGUGGCAAUGGAGCUGCCCAGAAGGGGAGAGAUUUCGAAUCACUGGAGUUUAGAAUUGAAAGGAAUUCUUAGAGAUUUAGUGAAACCCAAGCUCCUCAUUCAUUUUAGGAAUGAGAUGUCCGAGGGCCAGAGAGGUUAAAAGAGUUCGCAGUUCAGGCCCUGUCCAGUGGAGGGAGAGGCUCGAGGACCAUUAAGGCCACGUGCAGCCAGGAAUUAGGGAGAACACAUCAUUAAUGAAUGCAUCAGCUUGGUGAGCAGGAAGGGCUGCUCGAGACAAGGAGACAGGGUGGUGGAAACAACGCAAAUUACCUAGACCUCGACCGAGCUGCACAUCACUGUAAGUCCCAGACAAAGGCUAGAGCCAGCUUGUCCUCUCCGGGGAGACCAAAAGCCUACUUUUAAUGGCCUAUAGCCCUGGCUGUGGGCACCUGGUUCUAUCAUGCAGUCUAACCCUUGCACGUGGCUGGGGAAAGAGCUAAGCACAGAAGCAAUAAUGGUCAGAGGUUCACGGUGUGUUACAGUUUAGAGAGGGCUUGCCUGAGCUCUGUAGAAUAGAUGACAUGGUGUUUUAUUCUGUUGCCUUGUUACAGAUGAAAAAACAAAUUGUUAGGCUAAAUGACUCGUCUCAGAUUGAAGAGUGAAUAUUAAGAGUUAGGCCUUGACUCCUGUCCUUUCUUAUAAAGUCCUUCCCUUAAUAAACACAUACACACAUAUGCAUGCACACAUGCACACACACAGGGUGAGUUUCGUGUGGGCACGAUGCAUGCCAGGAAGACUUGGCAGUCGCACUCACCGGUGCCGGGUCUGUGCUCGCUGGCUCCACUUCCCCAGGAAUCUUUAGCACACAGAGAGGUGACUGCAGAGGCCCAGCUCAGGGCUCACGGGCCCAAGGAUCAGACAAAUGGCCCAGGAUCCAGGCCUUUCAUUCCCCUCAAAGGGACUGGGGCUGACAGACGGCACAGGAAAAACUGGAAUGUCCCCUUUUGUGUUUCCCAAUGUAUUCUUUGCCAUCAUGACAACAGAGAGUGGGCUGAUUUGGGAAUAAACCUUUCUCUCUCAAGCUCUGGAAUGAGUCAUCUGGCAAUUAGCUUCAGGUGGAAUACAAAAGUUUCUUGUCACCUGCGGAAGCCCUGGUCUUUAGAAAGCAGGUGGGGUUUUUGCUUGUUUCUGUUUUGUUUUUGCCCUUCUCCUCCAUUCCCCCGUGGCGGUCACGUGGGGAUUCACCUACUGCACGCGUGCUGUGCAGAUCUAGUCUGCAUGCCUACCUAUACGUUAGGCUCAGCCUGGAGGGCCCUGGGAUGUCUUCUCUCCAUUGCUCUCCCAGUUUCUCUACACUCAGUUGCGGCUUUGCCUCCCAGAGUGAGCGCGGGUCGGCCCCAAUGCUCUCAGAGGCUCCUCUGCGUUUCCCGUGGUGCCAAGGGAAAGACUUCACCUGGGAACACUUGGAACAUGUUUUGAGGGUGACUUUUCAUUCUUUGUGUUCUCUAUAGAUUUUAGGGGUUUCUUGUACUCCUUUGGGGAUAAAAAUCACUACAAUAAAACCGUAAAUCUUUUUAUGUCUAUGAUAUCUGUGC
ensembl:lncRNA